GCUGGGCAUGGUGGCUCAUGCCUGUAAUCCUAGCACUUUGGGAGGCCAAGAUGGGUGGAUCACCUGAGGUCAGGAGUUCAAGACCGGCCUGGCCAACAUGGUGAAACCCCAUCUCUA
rnacentral:SRP_RNA from 1 species